UUUAUGGAGAGUUUGAUCCUGGCUCAGGAUGAAUGCUGGCGGCGUGCCUAACACAUGCAAGUCGAGCGGCAGCGCGAGUAGUUUACUACUUGGCGGCGAGCGGCGGACGGCUGAGUAACGCGUGGGAAUCUGCCCCAAAGUGAGGGAUAACUGCCCGAAAGGGUAGCUAAUACCGCAUAUGGUCUUCGGAUUAAAGCAUUUAUGCGCUUUGGGAGGAGCCCGCGUCGGAUUAGGUAGUUGGUAGGGUAAUGGCCUACCAAGCCGACGAUCCGUAGCUGGUCUGAGAGGAUGAUCAGCCAGACUG
rnacentral:rRNA from 1 species